CAAAUUUUGAAAAAAUAAUUCCAAGAAAGUAUGAUGCAAAUAGUGAAUUGACUGUUAUAAUUAACAAUGUGUAUUCUAAAGAAAAACUUGACGAGAUAAGCGAAUUUGUAAGAAAUGAAUUUGAAGAGAAAGUAUUUAAAGAUGUUCAAGACAAGAUAAUAGAACGCAAAGAACUGUUAGAUACAUAUGUCUCAUUUC